CGUAAUUGGUCAGCCUGAAUGGUAAACAUUCGAUAUUCGUGCUCGAUUCAAUCCAUGCCACGAGCAGCCUGGCUCAUCUCAACACUGUUCAUCACUCAAAUAGCUUAGCUAGUAUUUCUUCGUUGAGAUUAUCCUGAAGAUAACCAUGGGAUGCGUCUGGUACCGGAGGGCCCCUUUAUUUCGCAUGUUAUUGUGUGGAAUAACAACCUUUUGCAUUAUCUACAUUGGAGGAGAUGCUCUCCGUAGAGUCCAACACCUGAGAGAUAGGCCGAGGCGUAGGAUUGAAACCGACCUGAUUAUAACACGAAACACAACAAAAAAGGCAACAGAGACAGGGGCAGGUUUGGUUUUCUGCAAUGACACACGACUGAUGCCAGAAGGGACAUUCCCACCUAUAGCCCUGGCUAGCUUUCCCGGUCGGGUAAUUCGUGGGUUAGACAUCUCAUAAAGACUUCAACUGGUUAUGCCACAGGAAGUGUGUAUGCAAGCGAAAUACUUCGUAGGCGAGGUUUUCCCGGAGGAGGAGAAGGAAAUUUGGAAGGCAGGGCUCUGACAAUCAAGACACACGUCUUUCAGAAGAAUAUGGUCGGUGCUAUUCUACUUUUACGCAAUCCUUAUCGAGCAAUGGUAGCUGAGUUUAACAGGCGGGAAGCUGGCCAGACGGGACAUGCCCCUGAAAAAGAAUUCAAAACAGAAAAGUGGCAUCCAUAUGUCGAAGAGGAGGCUCGUAAUUGGAUCAAGCUAUAUAGAGCUUUCAUCUCCGAAUGUCAUCAUCCGGGCAACACCUGCAAGUCGACGUUGAUCGUGUAUUACGAGCAACUCCAACUGCAUCUCAAGGACGAACUGCGACGAAUCCUGGAAUACUUGCAUAUAACCAUAGAUGAAGAAAGGCUUGCAUGUGCAGUAGCUAAUGCAGAGGGUACCUAUCAUAGACCAAAAAGAAAUCAAACCUUGGAUCCAUUCUCAAAGAAAGACAGGAAAUUGGUGGACAAAUCUUUGAGAUUGUACCACGAUUUGAUUGUCAGGGAAGGAUUAGAGACACCACCGUUAUCGUUUAGUUCAUAUCCGAGUGAUUUAUAGAGUUGAAGACCCACUAACUGAAUUUGAUAUAUUAUUUUUGUUUUGUAUCUUAGUAUUCCUGUAUAAUAGUUCAUCUUCUGACACGAUAAAUCAUGAUUAUCCUUUUAUACCAAUUGUCUCAUUAUGGUAUAGAGUAAGAGCCUAGGAGUGGUAAAGGGACUAUGUCAGAAGGGACACAAUAUGCGUUUGUUAAAGGUAAUACAAAGUUUUGGGAAAUUUUGAAAAUUGAGUGGAUAGUGAUUCUUUACAAU